AGGUGAAGUUUUGGUGUUGAAGCUUUAUAGGUGAAGCUUUGUGUUUGAAGCUUUAUAGGUGAAGCUUUGGGGUUGAAGUUUGAUAGGUGAAGCUUUGUGUUUGAAGCUUUAUAGGUGAAGCUUUGGUGUUGAAGCUUUAUAGGUGAAGCUUUGUGUUGAAGCUUUAUAGGUGAAGCUUUAGGGUUGAAGCUUUAUAGGUGAAGCUUUUGUUGGCACCAUAAAUUGAUUGUGCUUCGCACUAUCUUGAUGAACAUAGUGCGAAGCUUUGGAGAUUGAUACUUGUCCUCCAUUGAUGAAGCUUUUGUUGGCACCAUAAAUUGAUUGUGCUUCGCACUAUCUUGAUGAACAU
rnacentral:lncRNA from 1 species